rnacentral:rRNA from 1 species
GAUGAACGCUGGCGGCGUGCCUAAUACAUGCAAGUCGAGCGAAGAGACUAGGAGCUUGCUCCUCUGACGUUAGCGGCAGACGGGUGUGUAACACAUGGAUAACAUCCAUAUAAGACGGGGAUAACUUCGAGAAACCGGAGCUAAUACCGGAAAAUAUAUUGAAGCGCAUUGUUCAAUAGUGAAAGACGGUUUUGCUGUCACUUAUAGAUUGAUCCGCGCCGCAUUAGCUAGUUGGUAAGGUAACGGCUUACCAAGGCGACGAUGCGUAGCCGACCUGAGAGGGUGGUCGGCCACGCCGGAACGGAGACACGGUCCAGACUACUACGGGAGGCAGCAGUAGGGUAUCGUCCGCAAGGGGCGAAAGCCUGACGGAGCAGCGCCGCGUGAGUUAUGAAGGUCCUCGGAUCGUAAAACUCUGUUAUGAGGGAAGAACAAAUGUGUAAGUAACUAUGCACGUCUUGACGGUACCUAAUCAGAAAGCCACGGCUAACUACGUG